rnacentral:rRNA from 1 species
AGUGAACGCUGGCGGUAGGCCUAACACAUGCAAGUCGAACGGCAGCACAGGAGAGCUUGCUCUCUGGGUGGCGAGUGGCGGACGGGUGAGGAAUACAUCGGAAUCUACUCUGUCGUGGGGGAUAACGUAGGGAAACUUACGCUAAUACCGCAUACGACCUACGGGUGAAAGCAGGGGACCUUCGGGCCUUGCGCGAUUGAAUGAGCCGAUGUCGGAUUAGCUAGUUGGCGGGGUAAAGGCCCACCAAGGCGACGAUCCGUAGCUGGUCUGAGGGGAUGAUCAGCCACACGGGAACUGAGACACGGUCCAGACUCCUACGGGAGGCAGCAGUGGGGAAUAUUGGACAAUGAGCGCAAGCCUGAUCCAGCCAUACCGCGUGGGUGAAGAAGGCCUUCGGGUUGUAAAGCCCUUUUGUUGGGAAAGAAAUCCAGCUGGCUAAUACCCGGUUGGGAUGACGGUGCCCAAAGAAUAAGCACCGGCUAACUUCGUGCCAGCCGCCGCGGUAA